rnacentral:rRNA from 1 species
CCUACGGGGGGCAGCAGUGAGGAAUAUUGGUCAAUGGGCGCGAGCCUGAACCAGCCAAGUCGCGUGAGGGAGGACGGCCCUACGGGUUGUAAACCUCUUUUGCCGGGGAGCAACGGGCGCCACGUGUGGCGUCACUGAGAGUACCCGGAGAAAAAGCAUCGGCUAACUCCGUGCCAGCAGCCGCGGUAAUACGGAGGAUGCGAGCGUUAUCCGGAUUUAUUGGGUUUAAAGGGGGCGUAGGCGGUUCGUUAAGUCAGUGGUCAAAUUGAGGGGCUCACCCCCUUCCCGCCAUUGAGACUGGCGUUCUUGAGUGGAAGAGAGGUAUGCGGAAUGCGUGGUGUAGCGGUGAAAUGCAUAGAUAUCACGCAGAACCCCGAUUGCGAAGGCAGCAUGCCAGCUUCCGACUGACGCUGAAGCACGAAAGCGUGGGGAUCGAACAGGAUUAGAUACCCGGGUAGUC